ensembl:lncRNA
GUCUAUUUGUAUUACUUUAUUGGAGGAAACAUCUUGAAACCUUAAUGAAACACAAAUGAAACCUCCAUUAAGUGAAACGUCUGAACGAUAGCAUCCUCCACUAUGUGUUUUUGCUUCUAAAUCAUGAUAAUUGCAAUCACAACAGCCACCAUAAACGACUUCUAAGGCUCAGUAAUACUGGGGUUUAUAUUCACUCUCUGAGCAAACGUACUAAUUACGCUCGUCCGUCUAUUAGCGGGUCGCAGUUCGCUCUCCCUCCCUCUCAUUGGUGUUUACAGUGAAGGAUUUGCAUACGAGGGGCCUCCGUCUCACUUUCCAUAUGGCAGCGAGAGCGGCCCCGUCUCAAGCGCGCUGACAGCUCAAAAAUGCCUCUCUGAAUGGAUUGUUUCUCCGUCCAGAGAUUUGCAUGCUUGUUCACGAGCGAUUAGCUGUGUUCUCCUCCCCCUACAGCCAAAUCAAGGAUAUGCAAAUGCAAUUAGACAGAGAUUGUGAGCAGCUAACGGUGGCACAGAUGGCAAACGGAGAAAGGUGCCGCCAUCUUUUGGAGGGAAACGGCCAGUCGGCAGAAAGGAGUCGCCAUCUUCUCAUCUUUUUGGAGGAACACAUUUGUUUUCUCAUCUUUUUGGAGGGAAACAGCCAGGCGGCAGAAAGGGGCCACAAUUUUGUCAUUUUUUGGAGGGAAACGGCAGAAGUGGCUACCGUUUUGUCAUCAGUUUGGAGGAAAAUGUCAUUGUCGCCGGGUCGAAGGGAAAUCACCUGCACCGCGAGCCGAUUUCUCAAAGAGCCGGGGCCCGACUCGUCCUUCAGUACAUUACCACCUACACAUCUCCUCACAAUACACACGCAUGCAUCCACACACUGAGCUAAUUACAGGGAGACUCCCGUCCCAUUUCUAUCUGAAUCACUGGAACAGAGGAGGAGAGACGCGCUGGGUCCUCUUUACUGAAAGGACAGGCUUGUGUCUUUGAGGUUUUUCUACAUAAAGAAGAGUAAACAAGGCCCUGGCGAGCUAAUUGAGCGGAACGGCAUCCCUGCUGAUCCUACGAGGGAAAACCAUCAAAAGAGCCAAAGAGAGAGAAGCUGAGGCCUGAGCGUCAGAUCAUUAGACUAAAAACACACAGCCAUAGCAAAUAUACUAAAACUGUAUAUAUUCAAUGCAUUUCAAUAUCUCAUUUGUUUCUCUUUUUCAGCAGAGAGACAUAUUUUGAUGUUUCUCCUGAUCUAAAAGAGCCAAAAAGAGUCUCAACUUUGUCUCAAAGUCUGCAAUGAAAAGCCAGAGACCGCAAUAUAAACUCCUUUAUACGUCUCUUCUGUUCACCAGUGCUGCAUUUAUUUAAUCAAAAAUACAGUAAAAAAUUGUGAAUUAUUAU